UACGUAGGGGGCGAGCGUUGUCCGGAAUUAUUGGGCGUAAAGAGCUCGUAGGCGGUUCGGCAAGUCACGUGUGAAAUCUCCACGCUCAACGUGGAGGCGCCACGUGAGACUGCUGUGACUCGAGUCCGGUAGGGGAGCGUGGAAUUCCCGGUGUAGCGGUGAAAUGCGCAGAGAUCGGGAGGAACACCCGUAGCGAAGGCGGCUCACUGGCCCGGUACUGACGCUGAGGCGCGAAAGCGUGGGGAGCAAACAGG
rnacentral:rRNA from 1 species